UAAGAUCAAACAUUAACCUAGAAGCAAAAAGGGCCAAAGCUCACCUCAACAGAAGAAAUCUCUUCCAAAGCUCCAAAAGAGAGCUGGAACCCUUCCAAUCCAAGCCCAAGGAAGGUUCUAAUCCAAUCAAUCUAGCCUCAAAAGCCCUAGAUCAAAAAGCCCCAAAAAUCAACCCUAAUAUCCAAUCUAGGGUUCCAUAUACUAAAAACCCUUAAACCAAGAAAUCUUGGAGAAAGAACAAGUUGCUUACCUCUUAGAAGCUUUAAUCAAGGUUCAAAACCCUCUAAGUUCCAAGAUCUUUCCUCAACAAUGCUCCAAUUCCAAGCUCCAAGCUACCAAAAGGGAGAAGAGAGGGUGUGGGUGAAGCUCCAAGCCUUCAACAAGCUCUCUCCUUCUUCUUCUUCCUCUCCUUCUUCUUCUUCUCUCUCUAGGAGCAAAGGGAAUGGUGGAAUGAGGGAGAAGAGAAGAGGAAGUAGCCAUUUAUGACCUCUAGUGUAACAAAAUCCAAAGAGGCCCCUCAAAAAUCCAAUAUUACAACAGCCCGGACUGGGCAGUUUUCGCCCAGAGGGACCGGUCUCUCCCCAGCAGGGACUGGUCUCUCGCUGCGAACCCGGAAAACCAACGUUCGGGAACCGGUCUCUCCCCGCGCAGGACCGGUCUCUCACUGCGAAGACGCGCUCGGGGACCGGUCUCGCCUGCCAGGGACCGGUUGCCUCAGGCUGCCUCAACACUGCUCAUUGGGGGACCGGUCUCUCCUUUCAGGGACCGGUCCCCGAGAGUAAAAACUCUCAGGACCAAACCAAAACUCAGGUUUUCGAACUUUUUAGGUCGGAAAAACAUUCAACAACCCUCCACCGAGUGUGGAAAAGCUCGAAAUACAUCCAAACACUCGAACCUCGCAAUUUGCAAAGGUCCAGUGUGUUACAUCUUUGAUCUGCUCCCCUUGUCGCAUAACAGCCUCCUGCUGCCGCUGCACCAUAUCGGCUUGUUGCCUCACCACACCCACAAGUGUGGCCAACUGUUCACGAAGUUUCAAGUCUCCGCUCGCGCCGGUUUGCUUAGGGACACCACUUGUCCCCUCCCGCGCCGAUCUAGCUGAGGAUCGCCUACGCGAUGCCAUCGUUUCCUGAAACACGACAACUCGAUUAGUUCUCAACCAUCUUGGGUCGAACACGAGAAAACCAACAACGACUCAAGAGUCAAUCGGGCGAAAGUCACGCAAGGGCGUCUAUCUUCAUCACUCGGUUUCAUGUUGUAUGCAUCCAACAUGAACACCCUCGGUUGAGAAUAAACAACACCUUGAAUCUACCUCUAAUAUCCGUCUUAGAGGUUUCGACACAACCCAAUCCAUUAACCUUUUCGCCACAAGUCACAAAUCUUCAUCUCUCACGAGCCUUAACCUCUAUGGUUUCAUUAUCCUAGGGUCUCCUAGGUUCACUUAUGUCACGCCCCGAGACCGCUACCAAUUUGGCUCGGCCCCGGGCGCGUCGAACAGACGCCGAACGGACAGGACCUCCCUUGUCCGUCCAAGGCUAACCAACGGAUCAUGUAUAAGAAUUUACCCAGGAAUAAAUUCAAAAAUAUACGAUAAAAAAACACUACCAGUGCAACAAGACGAGAGCAAGAUACAAGUAUAAACACAUAUACUAGUACAUAAAGAGAGGAGAGACUAUCUAUUACAUUCAUUUGACUUGAUACAUUUAAUUACAUCUUUUACAUUCUUCCAAAAUAUAAAUACAAUCGCUCCACCUCACCCUAUACAACAUCUACUCUCAAAUAUAAAAAGGGUGACAACUAAUGCAAAAUGGAGGUAGCUAAUGCGACUAGAGCGCCGGGCCCUUACCACGAUCCUCACGCUCACCGGGGACGCCCGAACUCGAACCUGUGGUAAAAAUGGGGGUGAGAACUAACUUCCUUAGUUCCCAGUGGGUUCGGCCGCCGACUCCGCCGAUCUCCCCACUAGGUCCAAGCGGGCAAAAGUAGAUAAUCGAUAGAUAGAUAGAUAAGGAAAGCUGUAAAGACAGGAAAGUAAAGCUACACUAUUAUGCCCAAUCAUGGAUACAUGAAUGCAUGUUCAAUGAAACGGUAAGCAACUAACCUGUCGUCAUGUCAAAGGUAAAGCUAUGUACUUAUUCAUCAAUGUCAUUUACUUGUUCCUUAAUCUCGUGGCUUCCCUGAAGGAGCCUACUGCUCACUAGCCAUCUCGAAGGUAGGGAGGGUCAACUCGCACUACGAACCGAGAACGUAUGCCGAGGCCUAAAAUAGGCAAUCCCUUGGGACCCAAAAUAGGCAAUCCCACGUGACCAACAUCCGGAGCGCACUACUUGUGUGGGGCUUCCAUCACAAGAUUUAGAAACAGACCGUGAGCAUGAUCCAAUCUUCGUCUCGAGAAUACCCUAUCCUCUAGGGUUACAAUCAUCAUAUAGUCCAUAGGUUUCACAUACACUACGACUCAUAUGUGUCAUUUGUUCUUUUGCUUACUAUCAACUAAAUUGCCACUCGUCCAUUAUUUACUAUCGACUAGAUGCCACUCGUUCUUUGUUCAUUAUUAGACCGACCAUUGAGCCCAUCACUUUCUCUGCACUAUAGGAUUCACAAAUCUCGACCCAAUCCUUAUCAAUCCACUAUAUCAAGUAUCCAAUGCAUGCUACGAUAUGAUCAAGGAAAGCAUAAGGAAAGGCAAUGCACAAUCAUCCUAUAAUGCAAUAAUACAAGAUGCAGAAUCGAAAUGUACUAAGACAUAGAAGGGAGCCCGAUUGCUUCGGGAUGGGCACCACCCACCUCUUGGCGAUGCCGCGAUGGUAGAAAACUCGACGCUGCGGUCUUUGCACGCUGCUUCAACUCCUCGGGGCGAAGCGAGCCCUCGAGUACCCGAUUCAGCGAUUUCUCCACACCCGCUCGUCGGAUCGGCAAACCGUCUUCGCCGACGCGUUCCGAGACCUAGCAAUUUGGUUUACGACCUAUUAAGAUAGAUCAAAACCCUAGAUUUACCAAAAUCCUAAAUCCGUGCCCUAGAAUGGCAACGAGGGAGAAAUCCGUGGUGCGAGCUUCGAUUUCGAGCUCGAACCCUCUAUUUAUCUCCUCUAGGUUCCAUUCGAAUCAAUUCUAAGCAACAAAACCCAAUCCUAAGAAAUCUACCAUGGAUGGGUUUGGAGUUUACCUCUAAGCCAAGCUCCAAGCUUGCCCUAGCUUGAAGGAGAGAGAGAGGAAGACCUUCUUCUUCUUCUUCUUGAACUUCUCCUUCUACUUCUUCCUCUUUUCCUUCUUUUCUUUCUUCUCCUUCUUCUUCUCCUUCUUUUCUUUCUAGAGAGAGAGAGAGGGAAAGAGUGUGAAAGAGAGAGAGAAAGAGCAACUGAGAGGGGGAGAGAAGCCCCAAGCCUCUAAUAAAGGCCAUUUUGCAGAUAGCCCCCUCAACUUUUCAUCCUUCAAACCAGCCCUCUCUGGGCAUUUUCGCAGUGUGGGACCGGUCCCAGCUCGGGGAGACCGGUCCCCGAAGGCUGCCAUCUCGGGCAGAGGGGUUUUCGCGUUCGGGAACCGGUCCUUGCCUGAGAGACCGGUCCCCGGGAGACCGGUCCUAAUCCGAGAGACCGGUUCCCGAAAGUUGGAUUCUCGGGACUUAGCCAAAUUUUGGCUAUUCUCACUUUGCUGACGUUCGGGAACCGGUCCCUGCCUGCCAGGGACCGGUCUCAUCAGAGACCUCCGCAGCCCAGCCUGAUGGAACCGGUCCCUCCUUGCCAGGGACCGGUCCCCGAGAGCAUUUCUGCUNUCACCUCAAGAGAAGAAAUCUCUUCCAAAGCUCCAAAAGAGAGCUAGAACCCUUCCAAUCCAAGCCCAAGGAAGGUUCUAAUCCAAUCAAUCUAGCCUCAAAAGCCCUAGAUGAAAAAGCCCCAAAAAUCAACCCUAAUAUCCAAUCUAGGGUUCCAUCUACUAAAAAUCCUCAAAUCAAUGUCUAGAGGGAGGGAAUGAGCAACAAACCUCCUUAGAAGCUCCAAUCCAAGCUCCAAAGGUG
rnacentral:lncRNA from 1 species